rnacentral:lncRNA from 1 species
GUCAGCAAAUCUGGUUAAAGUUUUUCCUCCUUGGAGCUGAUUGACGUGUGAUAAUCACGUGUGAUGCUAUGUGUCUUUAAUAAACAAGACUUUGGUCACUUUGGAGAUUACCCUGUUUAUGUGGUAUUACGUACAUAUAUACCAAAAGAAAUGUGUUGAUAUAUGAUUAUGCACUAUGAUAGGUUUAUCUAAUUACCUUCACUUUUAAUACAGACAUCCGACAGUUUUGAUUCAGAC